UGUUUGAUGUUCUAACGUGGACCCGUGAUCCGGGUUGCGGACAGUGUCUGGUGGGUAGUUUGACUGGGGCGGUCUCCUCCUAAAGAGUAACGGAGGAGCACGAAGGUUGGCUAAUCCUGGUCGGACAUCAGGAGGUUAGUGCAAUGGCAUAAGCCAGCUUGACUGCGAGCGUGACGGCGCGAGCAGGUGCGAAAGCAGGUCAUAGUGAUCCGGUGGUUCUGAAUGGAAGGGCCAUCGCUCAACGGAUAAAAGGUACUCCGGGGAUAACAGGCUGAUACCGCCCAAGAGUUCAUAUCGACGGCGGUGUUUGGCACCUCGAUGUCGGCUCAUCACAUCCUGGGGCUGAAGUAGGUCCCAAGGGUAUGGCUGUUCGCCAUUUAAAGUGGUACGCGAGCUGGGUUUAGAACGUCGUGAGACAGUUCGGUCCCUAUCUGCCGUGGGCGCUGGAGAACUGAGGGGGGCUGCUCCUAGUACGAGAGGACCGGAGUGGACGCAUCACUGGUGUUCGGGUUGUCAUGCCAAUGGCACUGCCCGGUAGCUAAAUGCGGAAGAGAUAAGUGCUGAAAGCAUCUAAGCACGAAACUUGCCCCGAGAUGAGUUCUCCCUGACCCUUUAAGGGUCCUGAAGGAACGUUGAAGACGACGACGUUGAUAGGC
rnacentral:rRNA from 1 species